GCAGGUUGAAGGUUGGGUAACACUAACUGGAGGACCGAACCGACUAAUGUUGAAAAAUUAGCGGAUGACUUGUGGCUGGGGGUGAAAGGCCAAUCAAACCGGGAGAUAGCUGGUUCUCCCCGAAAGCUAUUUAGGUAGCGCCUCGUGAACUCAUCUUCGGGGGUAGAGCACUGUUUCGGCUAGGGGGUCAUCCCGACUUACCAACCCGAUGCAAACUACGAAUACCGAAGAAUGUUAUCACGGGAGACACACGGCGGGUGCUAACGUCCGUCGUGAAGAGGGAAACAACCCAGACCGCC
rnacentral:rRNA from 1 species